AGGGGUAUAGGAAGCUUGCUUUCUAGAGACCGGCGCACGGGUGCGUAACGCGUAUGCAAUCUACCUUUUGCAGAGGGAUAGCCCAGAGAAAUUUGGAUUAAUACCUCAUAGUAUAUAUGAAUGGCAUCAUUUAUAUAUUAAAGUCACAACGGCAAAAGAUGAGCAUGCGUCCCAUUAGCUAGAUGGUAAGGUAACGGCUUACCAUGGCUACGAUGGGUAGGGGUCCUGAGAGGGAGAUCCCCCACACUGGUACUGAGACACGGACCAGACUCCUACGGGAGGCAGCAGUGAGGAAUAUUGGACAAUGGGCGCAAGCCUGAUCCAGCCAUGCCGCGUGCAGGAUGACGGUCCUAUGGAUUGUAAACUGCUUUUGUACGGGAAGAAACCCUCCUACGUGUAGGAGCUUGACGGUACCGUAAGAAUAAGGAUCGGCUAACUCCGUGCCAGCAGCCGCGGUAAUACGGAGGAUCCAAGCGUUAUCCGGAAUCAUUGGGUUUAAAGGGUCCGUAGGCGGUUUAGUAAGUCAGUGGUGAAAGCCCAUCGCUCAACGGUGGAACGGCCAUUGAUACUGCUAGACUUGAAUUAUUAGGAAGUAACUAGAAUAUGUAGUGUAGCGGUGAAAUGCUUAGAGAUUACAUGGAAUACCAAUUGCGAAGGCAGGUUACUACUAAUGGAUUGACGCUGAUGGACGAAAGCGUGGGUAGCGAACAGGAUUAGAUACCCUGGUAGUCCACGCCGUAAACGAUGGAUACUAGCUGUUGGGCGCAAGUUCAGUGGCUAAGCGAAAGUGAUA
rnacentral:rRNA from 1 species